rnacentral:lncRNA from 1 species
CCCCGCCUUCGGGGGCACCCUUGCUCGGCACUUACACUGUGGAAGCAGAUUCCUCCACUAACCACACCCACCUUGCAGGAGCUGAGGGAUUACAGAUGACAAUGGAUUUGAGACGGGGCCAGAGCAGUACUGCCGGUCGGCUCAGGAGCUGGCAGCAGGUGACGACUGGCUAUGAGACAGUCCCUCUGGCCUGGGCGAGGGGGGUCCCUGACCUGCAUCUUCACCUGUACGGUCCCCUCUCUGGUCCUCCUCUGGCCUUGCUCUCGUAAAGGUCAGGAUGCCCAGUGGACGCAGGGGGCUUCCUUCGUGGUCCACACACGGCACACCCAGGAGCCGGAAAUGCCAAGGGAACAGUCUUGUGUCCACACGUUCCUGCCCAUCAUCCUGAGGCUCCCCGCUCGGCCCCAGGCAGCCGGGACUUCUGGGGGAUCGGAUGGAAGCUGGACUUGGGGGCUGGGCUCCAGCCACACACCGCGGGCCAAGGUUAAGGGGUUUUCUUAAAAAUCGGGCAGUGACUGACCAGGUAACAGUGGAAUGAGAUACCCACACAACACGGACAUUGGAAAAGAGCUCAAAAGGGAGGCUAAGGAACCCAACUGUGGCUCUGGUGAGAAUCUGCUUCCUCCUUCCCUGCUUCCCAACCAGUUAGUUACCUAGAAGUUCCAAUUCCAAAGGAAAGACAAGGGCCCUGCAAAGAACUGACUAUGCAUAUGGUUUAACCAGGGAGCAGUCUGGCUCAAGGGCUGAAUGUUCCCUGUCGUAUUCAAACACAUUUGCAUCCUUUCUCCCCCUGACCUUAGAUG